CCUACGGGAGGCAGCAGUGGGGAAUAUUGGACAAUGGGCGAAAGCCUGAUCCAGCCAUGCCGCGUGUGUGAAGAAGGCCUUCGGGUUGUAAAGCACUUUCAGUGGGGAAGAAAGCCUUGGGGCUAAUACCCUCGAGGAAGGACAUCACCCACAGAAGAAGCACCGGCUAACUCCGUGCCAGCAGCCGCGGUAAUACGGAGGGUGCGAGCGUUAAUCGGAAUUACUGGGCGUAAAGCGCGCGUAGGCGGUCUGAUAAGCCGGUUGUGAAAGCCCCGGGCUCAACCUGGGAACGGCAUCCGGAACUGUCAGGCUAGAGUGAAGGACAGGAAGGUAGAAUUCCCGGUGUAGCGGUGAAAUGCGUAGAGAUCGGGAGGAAUACCAGUGGCGAAGGCGGCCUUCUGGACUGACACUGACGCUGAGGUGCGAAAGCGUGGGUAGCAAACAGGAUUAGAUACCCCAGUAGUC
rnacentral:rRNA from 1 species